UGGCUCAGUGGUAGAGUGCUUGCCUUGCAUGCAUGAGGCCCUGGGUUCAAUUUCCCAG
rnacentral:tRNA from 1 species